ACGGGCGUGAGCGUCGGUACGGGCGUGAGCGUCGGUACAGGCUUGCGUGUCUAUUAAUUGUUAUGUCCUUCAAGCAUGAAUUAAGUAACACCUUCUGGUUAUAAUGCCAGCCUGGAAUAUGAAUAUAAGGUUAGCUUCUACAAUUGAUUUGGCAGGAAUCAAAUCCGAGUUCCUCUACUGCGGAUUCGGCAGGGACCAGAAAAGGGAGUAACAGAAGAAAAAACUCACCUUUCUUCAAGAAAUAUUCCAACUGCUCUGCAUCUGUGAACAUGCUCUGCCUUCACUCCUGUCACUGAAGAUCCUUCACUGCACAGCUCUUUACCUCUACUCAACUGUCUGAAAAUUAACUGCCAUGUGAAGUCUGGGUGCUGUUCGUUCAGUCUCUACAGUAGUCACAUGAUGAAUGACUGCAAUCUGAGAAUAAUAACCUACAAAUAUUGGUUCAUGUUUCCAAGGAAAGGGUGUGGAAAAAAAAAGUUUUUCUUAAAUUCUGUCUCAACAGUCAGUAGAAACAGAGGGAAGACUAUCCUGCAGGUUUUUUGGUUGGUGAAACACACUUUGAGAAAUGCCUAGUUUAGAGGAAAGAGCACUACUGUCUUUAAAAUCCUUGUCAAUAAAUUGAUUACACAGGAAAGCCCUUCCUUUCUGCAAAUGCAAAUAAAACAUUUCUUGAAAUCUAACUGUAUCCCCCAGGCUACUGCUUUAUUAAAACUAUG
rnacentral:lncRNA from 1 species